rnacentral:rRNA from 1 species
ACACGUAGGGGGCGAGCGUUGUUCGGAAUCAUUGGGCGUAAAGGGCGCGCAGGCGGCGUAUAAAGUCUGGCGUGAAAGUCCCCGGCUCAACCGGGGGAUAGCGUUGGAAACUGGUAUGCUUGAGUACGAGAGGGAAUGGCGGAAUUCCAGGUGUAGGGGUGAAAUCUGUAGAUAUCUGGAGGAACACCGACGGCGAAGGCAGCCAUCUGGUUCAGUACUGACGCUGAGGCGCGAAGGUGCGGGGAGCAAACAGGUUUAGAUACCCUGGUAGUCCGCACAGUAAACGAUGUGCACCAGGUGUCGGGCAACAGUUGUUCGGUACCGAAGCAAACGCGAUAAGUGCACCGCCUGGGGAGUAUGCCCGCAAGGGUGAA